CGUUCUUUGUUUCAGUUUUUAUUCAGCUGCUGAUGAGUUAAUAAAACUGUUUCUGUCUCUGACACGCUGCUCUGUUACUGUCUCUGAGCAGAACCUGACACCAGGCUGUGACUGGACCUGCAGCUGGUCAAAGGUCACAGAGGGUCCAUCGGUCUACAGAGGGACAGCUGGCACCCUGAAGGUCAGACYGUGCAAUGAGCUCCAGCAGGUUAAAAGUCCUCCWGCUGUCAGCACGGUGGUGGAGCUGAUGGUCUGGGCUCCUUACAGUCACUGAGUGGACCGAAGGUGCUGCAGGGUCCAGAACCUGAACCUGGAUCUGACUGAAYCUUCAGAGUGAACUGAAGCACCGAUGGAAAGAAGAGUGGGUCAAAUACCCUCUGCAGCUAACGGAACCAGAACCACAGAGGAGGUUCUGGUUCCAUAAAAAGACUCGGUGGAGGACAGCUUAGAACAACUUCAGAACCAGAUCAGAUCCUUCUGGUCCUGAUAGAACCUACAGAGUCCUGUCCUGACUGCAGCUCCUCCUGAUGCUCCUCAGAAAUCACCUCCUCUCAGCUCGUUGUGUUUUAUUGGAUCCAGUCCAGGAAAUGGACCGGUUCAGGUAGCAGCGAGCGGUGGUCCCAGAGCCAGGAGCARCCAAUCACAUUUCCUGAAAACAAAGCCUGCCACAGGAGCUGGACUCUCUGCUGAAGCUCUGCUGCAUCACGUCACAGAAGUAAACAGGAACCGGGGCAGAAUGAUUAAACUCAUCAUCACGCCUCGUUUCUGGGAACAACAAAUGAAAAUGUUUUCACAGCUUGUUCUGAAGCCAUGACAGCUGCAGCAGGUUGCUUUUAUCCACCGUCUUCCCCCGAAGGUUUCAUCACUUCACCUCAUCUGUUUCUUCUCUCCACACUUUUAUUCUGUUUUCACUCCUUUACUUUAUUAGUUUUAUUUCACUUUGUUUCUUACCUCUCRUGGUUUCUGCCUCUUUUAUUUAUUUUCUCUUCAGUUCUUCAUCAUAAAUGUUGUUUUUGUUUCUGCAGAUCAUCCUAACCUUCCUCUCAUUCAGUCUUUGUUUUUUAUUUAGUUUAUUCUGUAACUUUCAUGUUUUAUUCUUUUGAUUUUAUUUCUGAUUUGAUUCGUUUGUUUUACUUUGUCUUAAAGUUUGAAUUCUCUGCAGGUUUUUCCUCACGUUGUGUCUUUAAAAACUCUUUUCCUUUUCAGCAGAUCUAUUUUUACAUGAUCACAUGUUUCUCCGGACUCGGCUGCUUCCUGUUCUUUCAGAGGAAGCUGAGCCGUAAACUGAAGCUAAAACAGGAACCAGCAGAGAAAUAAUUCUGUAAGAUGAAACUUUAUUGAUCCUCUGUGGGUGAAUCAGGUCGCAGCAGCUCAGAAAUUACAAUCAAAACGAAACAAACAGAGGAAACAGCUGAAAGGUGAAAAGGUCACAUCUGAAGUUUCAGACAGAUGUUUGGACGAAGCAUCACUGCUGCAGGAACAGAAACAGACUGAGAGUUUAUUUGACCAUAAAUCAGUUUCUGUGUGAAGAGACGUCCUUCGUUCAGCUGAUGGAUGGAUGACAACAUGACGAGCUGAGAUCAGCCUCUUCCUGCCCGACUCUCUGCAGCUUGUAGAGGAGCAGSGAUGAAGACGAGGAGGAGGAGGAGGAGGAGAAAUAUAAAGAAAACACAAGUAUUUGUCUUGGAAAUGGACAGCGCGUUCAGCAGAGCAGACUCAUGGCCCUUUGUAUUGAAGAAAAGCCUCGUCGAUGCGGUCAAACGGAGCCUUUAUGAAGAAGUGUCCGUGUCUCCUCGGCGCUCCGGCUCCAAGCGGGACGUGUCAGAAAACGAGCGGCGCGUCCGGCAAUCAGGAGGAGCAGCCAGCAGAAAAUAGGCCGGCYGCGUCUGAAGGGCUCGUCUAAACGGGGAUUACCCGACACCGAAGACCUGUUUCUGAACCAGGACUGUCUCACUGUUAGACGUGAGGAAAAGACUUUGCAUGUGUAAAAAUAUUUAAUACGGACAAUAAAGAGACUUCCUGCAGCACAUUUAGCUUCCAUCUGCACUUCGGCUGCUAAGUGUGACCGGACUUAUUUAGUGAAAACAGGGAAGAUGAAGCAGAUGGUUGUUUCCUGCUGGAKGCCUCAGUUAACACUCUGACUUGUGCCUGCAUCCAGGAGAGCUGGAUAAACACACACAAACUGAUUUAAAGUUUGUUCUUCAGUCUGUGAGGCAGGUCAGAGAUUAAACUAAAGGUUAUUUAACCAACAGCAAAGACUAGUUUCUGUGGAAAAAUACAGAAAUUAUUAUUUAACACUUCAAGAUGGCUGUCGUGGUGWUGAGUUCAGAGGUUUGGA